AGAGUUUGAUCAUGGCUCAGGAUGAACGCUAGCUACAGGCUUAACACAUGCAAGUCGAGGGGAAACGACAUCGAAAGCUUGCUUUUGAUGGGCGUCGACCGGCGCACGGGUGAGUAACGCGUAUCCAACCUGCCCACCACUUGGGGAUAACCGUGCGAAAGUAAGACUAAUACCCAAUGACGUCUCUAGAAGACAUCUGAAAGAGAUUAAAGAUUUAUCGGUGAUGGAUGGGGAUGCGUCUGAUUAGCUUGUUGGCGGGGUAACGGCCACCAAGGGCGACGAUCAGUAGGGGUUCUGAGAGGAAGGUCCCCCANAUUGGAACUGAGACACGGUCCAAACUCCUACGGGAGGCA
rnacentral:rRNA from 1 species